rnacentral:rRNA from 1 species
ACUCAAAGGAAUUGACGGGGGCCCACACAAGCGGUGGAGCAUGUGGCUUAAUUCGAGGCUACGCGCAAAACCUUAUCCCGGGCUUGACAUGCACGGAUUAGUCGGCGGAAACGCCGAUGACGCCGCGAGGUGGAACGUGCACAGGUGCUGCAUGGCUGUCGUCAGCUCGUGUCGCGAGAUGUUGGGUUCAGUCCCAUAACGAGCGAAACCCCUGUGGCCAGUUGCCAGCGCGUCACGGCGGGCACUCUGGCCAGACUGCCGGCGUCAAGCCGGAGGAAGGCGGGGACGACGUCAAGUCCUCAUGGCCCUUAUGCCCGGGGCCGCACACGUGCUACAAUGGGCCGGACAGAGCGUCGCGAAGCCGCAAGGCCGAGCCAAUCGCAAAAACCGGCCCCCAGUUCGGAUUGCGGGCUGCAACCCGCCCGCAUGAAGCCGGAAUCGCUAGUAAUCGCGGAUCAGCACUGCCGCGGUGAAUGCGUACCUGGGCCUUGUACACACCGCCCGU